rnacentral:rRNA from 1 species
GAUCAUGGCUCAGAUUGAACGCUGGCGGCAUGCUUUACACAUGCAAGUCGAACGGCAGCACGGAGAGCUUGCUCUCUGGUGGCGAGUGGCGCACGGGUGAGUAAUACAUCGGAACGUGUCCUGUUGUGGGGGACAACCGGUCGAAAGACCGGCUAAUACCGCAUAAGACCUGAGGGUGAAAGCGGGGGACCUUCGGGCCUCGCGCAGUUGGAGCGGCCGAUGACUGAUUAG